UACGGAGGGUGCGAGCGUUGUCCGGAAUCACUGGGCGUAAAGGGCGCGUAGGCGGCCUGAUAAGUAGGGGGUGAAAUCCUGCGGCUUAACCGCAGGGCUGCCUUCUAAACUGUCAGGCUUGAGCACAGUAGAGGCAGGUGGAAUUCCCGGUGUAGCGGUGGAAUGCGUAGAGAUCAGGAAGAACACCAAUGGCGAAAGCAGCUCUCUGGGACGGUACUGACGCUGAGACGCGAAAGCGUGGGGAGCGAACAGG
rnacentral:rRNA from 1 species